CUGUAAGCCGUUGAAGGUGGCCUGUGAGGGUUGCUGGAGGUAUCAGAAGUGCGAAUGCUGACAUAAGUAACGAUAAAGCGGGUGAAAAGCCCGCUCGCCGGAAGACCAAGGGUUCCUGUCCAACGUUAAUCGGGGCAGGGUGAGUCGACCCCUAAGGCGAGGCCGAAAGGCGUAGUCGAUGGGAAACAGGUUAAUAUUCCUGUACUUGGUGUUACUGCGAAGGGGGGACGGAGAAGGCUAUGUUAGCCGGGCGACGGUUGUCCCGGUUUAAGCAUGUAGGCGGAGGUUCCAGGUAAAUCCGGUACCUUUUUAACGCUGAGGUGUGAUGACGAGGCACUACGGUGCUGAAGUAACAAAUGCCCUGCUUCCAGGAAAAGCCUCUAAGCAUCAGGUAACACGAAAUCGUACCCCAAACCGACACAGGUGGUCAGGUAGAGAAUACCAAGGCGCUUGAGAGAACUCGGGUGAAGGAACUAGGCAAAAUGGUGCCGUAACUUCGGGAGAAGGCACGCUGAUAUGUAGGUGAAGCCCCUGCGGGUGGAGCUGAAAUCAGUCGAAGAUACCAGCUGGCUGCAACUGUUUAUUAAAAACACAGCACUGUGCAAACACGAAAGUGGACGUAUACGGUGUGACGCCUGCCCGGUGCCGGAAG
rnacentral:rRNA from 1 species